AUUGAACGCUGGCGGCAGGCCUAACACAUGCAAGUCGAACGGUAACAGGAAACAGCUUGCUGUUUCGCUGACGAGUGGCGGACGGGUGAGUAAUGUCUGGGAAACUGCCUGAUGGAGGGGGAUAACUACUGGAAACGGUAGCUAAUACCGCAUAACGUCGCAAGACCAAAGAGGGGGACCUUCGGGCCUCUUGCCAUCGGAUGUGCCCAGAUGGGAUUAGCUAGUAGGUGGGGUAACGGCUCACCCAGGCGACGAUCCCCAGCUGGUCUGAGAGGAUGACCCGGCACACUGGGACUGAGACACGGUCCAGACUCCUACGGGAGGCAGCAGUUGGGAAUAUUUCGCAAAGGGCGCAAGCCUGAUGCAGCCAUGCCGCGUGUAUGAAGAAGGCCUUCGGGUUGUAAAAUACUUUCAGCGGGGAGGAAGGGAGUAAAGUUAAUACCUUUGCUCAUUGACGUUACCCGCAGAAGAAGCACCGGCUAACUCCGUG
rnacentral:rRNA from 1 species